UCAUUUAGAGGAAGGAGAAGUCGUAACAAGGUUUCCGUAGGUGGACCUGCGGAGGAUCAUUGUCGAGCCACCCAGAGCGACCUGUGGACCCGUUAAACCGAUGGGCGCGGGAGCCGGCCGAGCAUGCUCGGCCCUCCAGCCCCUUGUCGGCACGUGCGAGGGCUCCCCUUCCCACCCCUCUCCGCGCCCCGGCGCGAAGGGGCGGUUGGUCGGCGGAUUCUCGCACGCGGCCGGCGCGAUGAACAAACUCGGCGCGGUCUGCGCCAAGGAAUCUGAGACGAGGAGUACGCCCCCCGCGCCCAUUGAAUCAAUGCGGCGCCGGGGGUGCGCACCCAUGCGAUUGCAAAAAUACGUAACGACUCUCGGCAACGGAUAUCUCGGCUCUCGCAUCGAUGAAGAACGCAGCGAAAUGCGAUACCUGGUGUGAAUUGCAGAAUCCCGUGAAUCAUCGAGUUUUUGAACGCAAGUUGCGCCCGAGUCCUUAGGGGCGAGGGCACGCCUGCCUGGGCGUCACGCGUUGCGACGCCCCCACAAUCAAUCCCGCGCCCGCCUCGGGGCGGGGUUGAAGUCGGGGGGCGGAUGUUGGCUUCCCGUGCGUCGCCGCUCGGUUGGCCGAAAAAGGGCAGUCCCCGUGGCACGGUACCCGACGAUUGGUGGAUGACACAAAGUUUUGUCCCAUCGUCCUUCCGGCGCGAAACGAGCGGACUGCGAGGACCCUCGAGCUUUGCCCGCCUUCGGCGGCGGGCAUUGACUCCUUCUGCGACCCCAGGUCAGGCGGGACUACCCGCUGAGUUUAAGCAUAUCA
rnacentral:misc_RNA from 1 species